UCAAGAAAAGAAAACUUAGAUGGCUGCUUAAAUAUACUUAAAGCUAAAUACGGUGCCAAUGUAGCUGUUUUGCGAGACGAAGACAAUAAUUU